rnacentral:rRNA from 1 species
UACGUAGGGACCGAGCGUUGUCCGGAAUCAUUGGGCGUAAAGAGCGUGUAGGCGGCUAUUUAAGUCCUGCGUGAAAUCCUGCGGCUCAACCGCAGACGGUCGUGGGAAACUGGAUGGCUAGAGUGCGGGAGAGGAGAGUGGAAUUCCCGGUGUAGCGGUGAAAUGCGCAGAUAUCGGGAAGAACACCCGUGGCGAAGGCGGCUCUCUGGAACGCAACUGACGCUGAGACG